UAAUACGUAGGGGGCUAGCGUUGUCCGGAUUUAUUGGGCGUAAAGAGCGUGUAGGCGGCCGAGUAAGUCCGGUGUGAAAACUCGAGGCUUAACCUCGAGAUGUCAUCGGAAACUAUUCGGCUAGAGUCCGGAAGAGGAGAGUGGAAUUCCUGGUGUAGCGGUGAAAUGCGCAGAUAUCAGGAAGAACACCUAUGGCGAAAGCAGCUCUCUGGGACGGUACUGACGCUGAGACGCGAAAGCGUGGGGAGCGAACAGGAUUAGAUACCCUGGUAGUCCACGCCCUAAACGAUGUCGACUGGUUGUUGGGGGUUUGACACUCUCAGUAACGAAGCUAACGCGUGAAGUCGACCGCCUGGGGAGUACGGCCGCAAGGUUA
rnacentral:rRNA from 1 species